rnacentral:piRNA from 1 species
UGGGGAUUUUGUUGUUUAAACAGUGUCUU